rnacentral:snRNA from 1 species
UUUUUUGACAUGCGCACACUGCACAAAUAUAGUUUCUCACUGUUGUGAGGCUCGGCCAUUGCACUCUGGUUGUGCUGACUCCUGCGAAUUCCCCAAAUGUGGGAAUCUUGACUGCAUAAUUUAUGGUGGUGGGGGACUGCGUUCGCGCUCUCCCCCG